CCUACGGGUGGCAGCAGUGGGGAAUAUUGCACAAUGGGGGAAACCCUGAUGCAGCAACGCCGCGUGAGCGAUGAAGGCCUUCGGGUCGUAAAGCUCUGUCCUAAGGGAAGAAUACUGACGGUACCUUAGGAGGAAGCCCCGGCUAACUACGUGCCAGCAGCCGCGGUAAUACGUAGGGGGCUAGCGUUAGCCGGAAUUACUGGGCGUAAAGGGUGCGUAGGCGGCCCUGCAAGUCAGGGGUGAAAGGCUACGGCUCAACCGUAGGAAGCCUUUGAAGCCGUAGGGCGUGGGGGCAGGAGAGGAGAGUGUAAUUCCCAGUGUAGCGGUGAAAUGAGUAGAUAUUGGAGGAACACCAGUUGCGAAGGCGGCUCUCUGGACUGUAACUGACGCUGAGGCACGAAAGCGUGGGGAGCGAACAGGAUUAGAUACCCUAGUAGUC
rnacentral:rRNA from 1 species